rnacentral:rRNA from 1 species
UACGUAGGGUGCGAGCGUUGUCCGGAAUUACUGGGCGUAAAGCGCACGUAGGCGGCUUUGUAAGUUAGAGGUGAAAGCCCAGGGCUUAACCCUGGAAUUGCCUUUAAGACUGCAUCGCUAGAAUCGUGGAGAGGUGAGUGGAAUUCCGAGUGUAGAGGUGAAAUUCGUAGAUAUUCGGAAGAACACCAGUGGCGAAGGCGACUCACUGGACACGUAUUGACGCUGAGGUGCGAAAAGCGUGGGGAGCAAACAGG